rnacentral:rRNA from 1 species
UACGUAGGGCGCAAGCGUUGUCCGGAAUUAUUGGGCGUAAAGAGCUUGUAGGCGGUUUGUCGCGUCUGCCGUGAAAGCCCAGGGCUUAACCCUGGGUCUGCGGUGGGUACGGGCAGACUAGAGUGUGGUAGGGGAGACUGGAAUUCCUGGUGUAGCGGUGAAAUGCGCAGAUAUCAGGAGGAACACCGGUGGCGAAGGCGGUUCUCUGGGCAUUACCUGACGCUGAGGAGCGAAAGUGUGGGGAGCGAACAGG